rnacentral:rRNA from 1 species
UAGGGAAUCUUCGGCAAUGGGGGCAACCCUGACCGAGCAACGCCGCGUGAGUGAAGAAGGUUUUCGGAUCGUAAAGCUCUGUUGUAAGAGAAGAACGUGUGUGAGAGUGGAAAGUUCACACAGUGACGGUAACUUACCAGAAAGGGACGGCUAACUACGUGCCAGCAGCCGCGGUAAUACGUAGGUCCCGAGCGUUGUCCGGAUUUAUUGGGCGUAAAGCGAGCGCAGGCGGUUUAAUAAGUCUGAAGUUAAAGGCAGUGGCUUAACCAUUGUUCGCUUUGGAAACUGUUAAUCUUGAGUGCAGAAGGGGAGAGUGGAAUUCCAUGUGUAGCGGUGAAAUGCGUAGAUAUAUGGAGGGACACCGGUGGCGAAAGCGGCUCUCUGGUCUGUAACUGACGCUGAGGCUCGAAAGCGUGGGGAGCAAACAGG